rnacentral:rRNA from 1 species
AACGAACGCUGGCGGCAUGCCUAACACAUGCAAGUCGAACGAGAUCUUCGGGUCUAGUGGCGCACGGGUGCGUAACGCGUGGGAAUCUGCCCUUUGGUUCGGAAUAACAGUUGGAAACGACUGCUAAUACCGGAUGAUGACGAAAGUCCAAGGAUUUAUCGCCAGAGGAUGAGCCCGCGUAGGAUUAGCUAGUUGGUGUGGUAAAGGCGCACCAAGGCGACGAUCCUUAGCUGGUCUGAGAAGAUGAUCAGCCACACUGGGACUGAGACACGGCCCAGACUCCUACGGGAGGCAGCAGUGGGGAAUAUUGGACAAUGGGCGAAAGCCUGAUCCAGCAAUGCCGCGUGAGUGAUGAAGGCCUUAGGGUUGUAAAGCUCUUUUACCCGGGAUGAUAAUGACAGUACCGGGAGAAUAAGCUCCGGCCAACUCCGUGCCAGCCGCCGCAGUAA